AGUAUCAUGGCGGAAACUGAAAACUUGGUUUGUUAUUGUGAAUUACCCUCUUAAAUUCUGUUGGUGAAAAUCAAAUGCAAGUUCCCAUUUCUAUAGUACUCAGAGUAUGUGAAAGACUAACUAGGCGCAUUCAACAUAUUUUCACUGUGAGUACCUGAAAAAAGAGGCUGAAAAUUCUCAAGUUUUUGGGUAUCAACCAGGAAGAACAGACCUGGAACCCCAUAGUGACGAUACAAAUCACAGUACUGUAGACCAAUAUAUUGAGAAAAGUUCAGGAAAAGAGGUUUAUAGCAUUACUAGUGUAGAUUGUGAGAGACCAUAUUUUCAUGGCACACAGCACUAACAGAUGUGGUGCUGCACUUUAAUUUAGUGUGAAUAGCCAAGUUUCAUCAAAGCACUAUUAUUCUCAGAAAAUGCCUGCCUGGAGAAUGUUAAGGCUUUUGGCUUUGUAAAAUUUAAUAUUCAGGCCCGACUCCUCCCAGUGGCCAACUUUUCUAUCGGUUGUCUUACCAUAAAGAAUUUCAGUUCUUGUUCAUGAGGUUGGUGACCAAAGUGCUUAGAGCCCUCUAUCUGUGACACCUAAGAGUCUCAUUUGUUGUUAAAUAUGCAAAGGAACAAAAUAUUUCUAUUUAGAAAUAAUGAAUGAUCUAACAGAAAAGAGAGAUAUUUCAGUAAAAAAUAAUUAUCAGGGAGUCAGAGUUCUUUAAAGCUCAUGACUAACAGCUCUAGAAGGCUAACUCACAUUCAUAAGAAAAACAACCCCUGCUAUCUUUAUAUAAAUGAGGAUGGAACUUUGAAGAGCAAAUGGCAACAGAAGAGAGAACAGGGGAACAAGAAUGAAAUCCUCAUCCAGAGUAGAAGUUUGUUUUGUAUACUGAAGUCAAAAAGGUCUUUAAAUAUCUUUUCCUACCCCCUUCCGAACUAUAGCAUGUUCAAUAGCAUAAACAGAUGCACUAAUGCUACAUAUUAAAUCCCCAAAUUCUGCAUGCGUUCUUAUUUGAAAUUCACCUAUGUGGCUCAUUCUUGCUAUGAAGACUUAUAUUUGGCACUAGGUACCAAACCUGCAAUUAUAUUUGCAAGGCAUAGGAAACGUCGUCUUCAGCUGGUAAAUUUGUCACAGUUCCCUUAAAGAACGUCAUGGCAUAUAAGCACAUAAUUUCAAGAAAAUGCUAUUAUACCUUAUGGUAAAAUUCUUCUAGGUUUUUUCUCUGGUACCGUAUAUGCUUAUGUCACAUUUCAAGUCUAUCCAGUAUACCAUGCUUGCCAUUCUCCGCCUAAAGAGAGGCAUGGAUGUGAGAAGAACCCUUACACAGCUUUUCCAAGUAUGACGAACGAGACAAGAUUUGUGGUAUGUCAGGACUACUGUAGAUUGACCUCAGUGUUGAUGGAAUCUUUUUUUGUACUCUAUAUGAUCGUAACUUUGGUCAGAAUUUUUACUAUAUGGUACAAAGGACAAGUGGUACAGAGUUGUCUUCAAAAACUUGGGAUUACUUUAGAGGAUAUACAGUAAAGCAUCUGUCUGGAAGCAAUUAAAAACUGAUAUAAACUUACUGUUUAUUUUAAUCAAUCAAUCAUUCUCACUUCUUUCUCUUGGUGUUUUUAUACUGUUUUAAUUUUUAAAAUUUUAACUGUCUAUAAUGGCUUUUGACUUGUUCUUUCUUUUGCUUUCACAGAUCAAAUCUUUCACAGGUUUUGAGCAAUACUCUGACAUACAUUUAAAAUUUCUUUACACUACAUUCUUCCUAUUUUCUUUUUGUUCAUGAUCCAAGUAUAAACACUGUCAGAUCCACUUAGUUAUUUACAUUAUACUUAAAAAUAUCUUUGUAUGAGUGCAGUUAGAAUAUUUAUUUGGUUUCUUCCCUUUUCCCAGCUCUUCACAAACCAAAACAAUGCUCACAGUUUUCCGAGAAUGGAGACGACACAGGUCCAGGUUUAAAUCUCAAAUGUAAAGAAGAAUAUUAUUUGAACUGAAACCAAUAUACUGGUUUACGAUGAGAAUUUUCUGAUUUCCAAAUGCAUAUUUUGAGAACAGCUGACAUGACUAAAAUGCAUUAUCUUUCUCCGGAGUGCUUAUACUCUUCAUCACAUGUUGUUUCAUUUUGCAUUUGUUCUUUUUAAUAUAAUAAAUGGAUAUGUGCAUAGAAGUAAAGUAGAGGCAGUUGAAGUAUGCUGCUAUCAAUAUUCAGCUGAAGAUAAACUUACCAGUGACUUUAACAGACGUUUGCCUGAAUAAAAGAUUGAAAAAUGAAAUUCUUCACUUAGUCACUUCAUUACAGCUUGUAAAAUCUUGGAGUCCAGUUCUUAAUCUCUUCCUCACUUGCAAGAAUAAGCACUGAGAAUUUAAAUUGCAUCAAAUCAAAGGGUGAUGCAGAAGUGCAUUCUUCCCUACUUCUUCAGUGCACUGAAACAAUAAAAUAGAAGCACUGUCUCUAAAUAUUUAUUUCCAGCAGUCUUUAGGUGCUGAUUAAAUAUUGACAUGAUUCAAUAGCAGUUCUGUAGAAGCUCAAUCUCAGGAAUUUGCAAAAGUGCCAGACAGAGUUAUACUGCGGUGAACUGUCUCUGAGUUCUGCUGAUACGUGAGAAGGCAUGGAGUAGUGUGUACUGAAGCACCUCCUCUUAAGUAAUGACAUGAUUUAUUUUCACUAAGAAUUUCUUAACUUGGAAACAUUCUAUAAACAAAAAGAACUCUAAUGUGUGAGCUUGUCACAUUAUUUUCUUCCUCCCCUGGAUAUGGUUAUUUGCAUUAUUUGUAUUAACUUCUUUGAAAAGUUUUGUGCUGUCUAUUUUUGUAAUGGGCAGUCUAUUCACCAUAAAUUACUUAUUACUUACAAGAUUACAGUAUAAAAUAUAGAACAAGUGAGACAAAUACAUUCUAACUCAGAAGUUUCAAGAAAAGCUACACUGUUUUACAGUUUUAUGACAUUCAUUAUGCCCCCAGAAUUGAAAAAUCUUUCUAAACUCCUAACCAUCUGCUCCGAGUAAAGCAAAUGUUUGUGCUGCUGCUCUCCAUAAUCCCCAUUUCCUUUCUCCCACAUCUGCUACUGACCAGGCCACUUCUUGAUUGUUAUGGAGUGCUCAGAUUGAAAAGAUGCAACAACUUUAAAAUGAGAAGAUGUCAUUCUUAUUAAAACCUUUUACUCAGACUCUAAAUCAGGCUGCAGGAGCCUUCAGGUUUUCUUACUGAUUUUGGGCAGCUGAUUGAAUCUUUGCAAGCUUUGAUGUCCUAUCAAUGAAAGGGAAAAAUAUUGUUUGGCUUUAAGAUAAUAUUACUGUUGUAUGUUAAUUAAAAAGCAUU
ensembl:lncRNA